UACGUAGGGUGCAAGCGUUGUCCGGAUUUACUGGGUGUAAAGGGUGCGCAGGCGGACUUGUUAGUCAGAGGUGAAAUCUCACUGCUCAACAGUGAAACUGCCUUUGAUACUGCAGGUCUUGAAUCCAGAAGAGAGUUGUGGAAUUCCGAGUGUAGCAGUGAAAAUGUGUAGAUAUUCGGAAGAACACCAGCGGCGAAGGCAGCAACUUGGUCUGGUAUUGACGCUCAGGCACGAAAGCAUGGGGAUCAAACAGG
rnacentral:rRNA from 1 species